ensembl:lncRNA
GGGACACGCAGCGUGUGACAGCCCAGAACUUAUGAGCAGAUAAACUGGGUUAAAUGCUUUCAUUUUAUUAAGCAUUCAUUUUGGCUCAGCAUGUAAAAUGCCACAGGGUAAAAGCCCUCAGAUCCUACCUCUUCAAAUAAGCUGAGGUUAGACUCAGAUCUUUGGAGGAAUCUGGAGAGAAUAUGAACUGGCUUCAUCUGUGUUUUGAAACUGAUUCUACACAAGCUCUCAACCCAUGGCCUGGGUCUCCAUGCCCCCCAACUCCUCCACCACACAGUACAGAAAUGGACACUGCAAAUUUCUGUCUGAGGCCAGCCUUGGCAGCGGAGCCAACGAGAAGAGAAACAGCCUGUGCUCUAAUAAGUAAAAUAUUUAUGUCUUGCUUUGGCUAACAUACCCUCUCUCAAUAAAAUAUUUUUCCCAGGAGGAAAUCUAUGAAAGGGAGGGAGCUCCUUUAUUAUGUCCCCAAAUCAUUCUUUUCUGCUGCCCUUCAAAAGCCUGGAAAUCAAAGACCACUGUAGUCCAAAGCUUUUUG